GUUGUGACGUGGUUAUUUUCUUAGAUCGUACAACCAACGUGGUAAUGCUGGCAUAAUAAUUCCCGGUUGCCAUUUUCUGACAUUUGAAAAGAUCUGAAGAUACGCCCCUUGGAUGCCUGCAGAGAAGCUCUGGGGCUUCAGUCAAUGACUCAGGGUAGCCACCGAACAUGAUGCUCGGGCAGUGGGUGCCACCUGGACUCCACUCUCCCCUCUCUCUGGGAUCAUAGAGUCCAAGGUGUUCUGUGGCCUCUCGGCCAAUCCCAGCAGCUCAGCGUGCAGAAGACCGAGGAGCCAUUGGUCAGUGUAGGAGGUGCCUGGAGUUUUGGAGAUGGGAUCCACAGGAAUUCAACACAACACGAAAUAAUCAACAAAUUCGGGGAAUGUUAAUCUGACCAUCACCAGUUACAAAUGAUGUUUCAUGCUACCUUCUAUUCCUGCCUUCAUAAAUCAAGCUCUAAAUCUCCAGGAAAAAAUGUGCUCAGGAUGGCCAGAGAAAUGUCCUUCCAACUGUGCAUGGAAAGCAAGGACAGCAAAGCCUUCCAGACCUGCCUGUGACAUGCACUGCACAUUCUAAAGAUGCCUAUGCAAUGGAAAACACCACUGUCUGCUCCAGCACAGCUGCCAUUCUUCCAUCUUAUCGACCUUAAUGCAACAACUCCUCACAGGCAGAGAUUUUAAAAUGUGUUCUUGGCAGAAGAGAGACUCAAAGAUGGGACAAAUGUGUCAUUUAAAUGCCUGUUAAAAUGGAAACAGACAUAGUAUAGUCAGAGGAUUGUGGCAGCUAAGAACAUAGUCUCUGGAGCAAAUCUGCAUGGGUGGCAAUGCCAAGCACAUGAGGUCCUAGUUGUAUGAACUUAGGAAAAGAAAAAGAGAACAUAUAUCCCCCUACCUUUUGAUUUCCAACAGUCUACUGAGAGGCCAAGAUUAUUUGCAGGGAAAGAAAAGGGGAAUGCCAUCCCCACCCUCUCGCAGCUACGUGCCAGUUCCAGAGCAC
ensembl:lncRNA LINC00710 long intergenic non-protein coding RNA 710